rnacentral:lncRNA from 1 species
GGCUUCCUCUCAUAACUAUAUUUGAUAGUGAGGGUGUAAUAAAGGCCGUCCUGCUCCUCUGCUCUCUACCUCUCUACCAAACGUCCCCUCACGACUAGUCCCUUCAAUUUCCCUUAAUUCCUGUUAGUGUUCUGCUCAGCCUACCUAAAUUAUCCCUCACCAACCAUAGCCCUGCCAUUCCCAACCAAUCAGAACGCUUGGAAAUGCGCAUCUGGACACUGCACCUGCCCACGCAGGUCAGAGUGUUGUCGUUGUCCUGUUUCUGAGGACUUUUUGUUGUCGACUGUAACACGAAUGUCUGAAUGUUGUCAGUCCAUCGAAAUCCUUCCUCUCAUCUGAAGACCCAGUGAGGGUGGAGCUCAGUCAGAGAGCUGUUGAGGGACUGGUUAGGAAGAACACUUCUACAGCCAGAGAGGGGCAGUCAAGAAAUGGAACAGCAAGGCCACAGAACAUGACAUAAGCAGAG